rnacentral:rRNA from 1 species
UACGAAGGGUGCAAACGUUGCUCGGAAUUAUUGGGCGUAAAGCGCACGUAGGCGGCUUUGCAAGUCCGAUGUGAAAUCUUAUGGCUUAACCAUAAAAGUGCAUCGGAAACUGCAGUGCUUGAGUACUUAAGAGGAUCGCGGAAUUCCCGGUGUAGAGGUGAAAUUCGUAGAUAUCGGGAGGAACACCAGUGGCGAAGGCGGCGAUCUGGGGAAGAUACUGACGCUGAGGUGCGAAAGCGUGGGGAGCAAACAGGG